GUGAAAUUAAAUUAGUAUGUGAUUUUAGUAUCAUUAUUAUUAUUAUUAUUAUGCCAACUUUGAUUAAACAAGAAUAUCUAAUUCUUAUCCAUUGAAACUAGGUCGAUGAUGUGGUGAUAAACCGAUCACCAUAAUUAAUCGGCUCAUCCACUUUUUGGAGAAACGAGAUGCCGUCAAGAUAGACACUAGCGCUCUUUUUUCUUCUUGUUGCUGUAGCUGUGGCUGUAGCAGUAGCAGCAGCAGUAGCAGUAGCAGUAGCAUGCCCCCAUCUGUGAAUAAUUCAUAAUCCAUGGUUUCUUCUGGUUUUGGCCUUAUCACCAUAGAAAAUGUAAGGCAUGAGGGUUCUAUUAGGUCUUAGUGGCAUAAGAUUUUCGAUUAUUAACUCGAUCUAUAUGAUUCUGAAGGUUCCUCGAGCUAGCAAGAAUAUUUCAAUGCUGCAAGGGAUUGAUUGCUCCUGUGCCGCUCUAGCUUAUUGUCCGUAGCAGCAAGCACAUCAUUAUUCCUGCGAUAUUUUAUAUGUAGUCCUGCUAGUGGUCAACCCAGGAAACAGGAAAGGAAAAAGAAAGAAAUGAGAACCCCUGGUUCUUGUUUCAAUUGUCAGAAUGAUUUGAUAUCUGUUUGAAACCGAUUCUUGGACUUGGCAAUUAACAGAUGUAGCAGAUGAAUUCACAAUGGAUGACACCCAGGCUAUUACAAAUCAACUUGGAUUCUUAACAGGGUUUCUUUGUAACGGGGAAAUUCAAUGGUUCAGGACAUGGUGACUGGACUUCAUCCUCUCAGGUUCUGGAUCUACCCAUCAUUUCAGAACUUCAUAAGCUUGAUGGAAUUGACAGCAAAUGCACUCAAUGUCAGAAUAUUUUCAACCAUCCUAUAUCAUGUAACCGCCCAGCACCAGCAACAAUACCAACUUACCAGGUUCCGUGCUUAAUAAAACUCUAGCAUAAAUUUGCACUAGCUUCCUCUAGUAGAAUGAUUGAUGAGGACGCCAGCUGCAUCAAAUGGCUUACAGGCAAAUUUCCAAAUCAGUCAGUUAUUUCCAUGGAUGCGAAAGAAUUAGCUGAAAUGGCUUGGGGCUUGGCAUAUGAUGAAGCAAUGUGCUGCUGUAAGUUGAACUCUCUAUAGAAAUGGUGGUUCUGCCUGAUACUUUGAACAAAUUCUGUAAUGCUAGCUUGCUCAUAUAAUUUUCAGAACUUGCAAAUUUUGUGCUCAUUAUGUAUUAAAGAAAUGAAUUACAAGACUUAAAACAGCAUAGAUCCUUCCAUUAAACCAGAAAGCGCUGUGAGGAUGCCAAUCACGAGUGUAACAGAAAGGGAAAUUGAGACGGAGUGCUAUGGAUUUGAACAAGAAGAUUGAUCUCUGUAUCGUAUUGCACAGUUAAU